UACGUAGGGACCAAGCGUUGUUCGGAUUUACUGGGCGUAAAGGGCGCGUAGGCGGCGUGGUAAGUCAGUUGUGAAAUCUCUGAGCUUAACUCAGAACGGCCAAGUGAUACUGCAGUGCUAGAGUGUGGAAGGGGCAAUCGGAAUUCUUGGUGUAGCGGUGAAAUGCGUAGAUAUCAAGAGGAACACCUGAGGUGAAGACGGGUUGCUGGGCCAACACUGACGCUGAUGCGCGAAAGCCAGGGGAGCAAACGGG
rnacentral:rRNA from 1 species